rnacentral:lncRNA from 1 species
GGGCAACACUGUUUAAAAAUGAUACAUAAACUGGGCAGAAACAAUGCACUCAGUUCUUCAAACCAGGGAGGAUACCAUUAAUACACAUGAGAAGGAAUCUCUUGAUAACCAUUGGUCUUACCCCUUAUAAGAGAUUGUGGCUCAUCGUUAAAAGACAAAGAAAAGCUUAUUUAGCAAAGAGAUUGUUCUUUGUUAAGAGCAAAAUGGCGAAGUUUAUUUUUUAAUUUGAAGGAAGAGACUGAAGAGUUCCUGCAAACCUUACCAUUUGAGCUGGCAUCAGAGUUGUCACAGCAGAAGUAGAAAGAAUCCAGCACUUGUGUCCCAGGGAACAAGCUUCUAGAAUUUUGGUCAUUAUGAGUGUGAUUCACUUGGUGAAUCAGUGGCUUUCUGUGAUUUCAAAUAAUGAUAACAAGCAUGGGAGGAAGGCAGCAGCAUUGUUCAGAGCAAUCAGUCUGUCAUUUGGGUGCUCAACUGAAUGAGGAGAAAACACAUCAAACCUGGAGAGUGGACAGCCAAGCACAUGUUGCUAUUGCCAUUCUUUCUCCUCUGUGGAUGUGGGAUUGAGGAAGGUAAAUUCCUGGAAUUGCUUCAGUUCACAAAGCAGAGGUAUUUGGAAGCAUGUACUUAUCCUAGUAACGGAAAACAGUGCCUGUUCAUUCUUGAUGCCUGCUGCAUUACUAAAAGCUACCUUGCUGCUAUGUCUCAUUACGUGCUACAGUCAGACCCACUGUGGAAGAAUACAGGCCACUCUCCCAGUCUUGCAGGGACCAAUGAAUCAUGACCUCUUAUAGAUCUUUCGUAAUCCUACUGCAGAAGAGGAGCCACCAAAGCCUUGAUUGGUUCUGGGCUUAUGGAUUUCAUAUUUUGCAAAAGCUGUUACAAAAUAUUAUCUAACACUGGGUGUUAAUGCAACUGAUGAGUUAUUGAAAACUACAUCUGAAACUAUGAUGUACUGUAUGUUAGCUAAUUGAAUUUAAAUUAAAAAUAUUAUCUAAAUGUUUAUUCUUUUUUUCAUUCAGGAGUUUCACUUGACAUCAGGAGUUCUUAGCAUGGAUUUUAUAAGUUAACUUCAGGAGUCCAUAGCCCUCAGAAUUGUAUUGUAUAAAUUCAUUUUUUUUUUCUAGGAAAAGAUUCAGAUUCUCAAAGGGGCUCAGAGACGGCCACAAUACUAUGAAUUGUUGGUUUUUAGUACCUAAAUACAUUUGACUUAAGCAGAAAAUUCUCUACCUAUUUUUAUCCUUUUGCUAUUGUUUUGCAUGAUCCAGACUCUGUCUUCACAGAGCUAAUCUUGAUAGAAACACACACGGAACUGCCGCAUUUGAGUCUGAUAUUUGGUAUUACCACAUAUGUUCCAAAUCAUUAAUAUAACAAAGACAAUAAAUCAUUCUUUUGGUAUUUGUUAUUUUUAAAU